rnacentral:rRNA from 1 species
AUUGAACGCUGGCGGCAGGCUUAACACAUGCAAGUCGAGCGGGGGAAGGUAGCUUGCUACCGGACCUAGCGGCGGACGGGUGAGUAAUGCUUAGGAAGCUGCCUAUUAGUGGGGGACAACAUCUCGAAAGGGAUGCUAAUACCGCAUACGUCCUACGGGAGAAAGCAGGGGAUCACUUGUGACCUUGCGCUAAUAGAUGAGCCUAAGUCGGAUUAGCUAGUUGGUGGGGUAAAGGCCUACCAAGGCGGCGAUCUGUAGGGGGUCUGAGAGGAUGAUCGGCCACACUGGGACUGAGACACGGCCCAGACUCCUACGGGAGGCAGCAGUGGGGAAUAUUGGACAAUGGGGGGAACCCUGAUCCAGCCAUGCCGCGUGUGUGAAGAAGGCCUUAUGGUUGUAAAGCACUUUAAGCGAGGAGGAGGCUCUUUUGGUUAAUACCCAAGGUGAGUGGACGUUACUCGCAGAAUAAGCACCGGCUAACUCUGUGCCAGCAGCCGCCGUAA